AUUGAACGCUGGCGGCAUGCUUUACACAUGCAAGUCGAACGGCAGCGCGGGCUUCGGCCUGGCGGCGAGUGGCGAACGGGUGAGUAAUGCAUCGGAACGUGCCCAGUAGUGGGGGAUAGCCCGGCGAAAGCCGGAUUAAUACCGCAUACGACCUGAGGGUGAAAGCGGGGGACCGAAAGGCCUCGCGCUAUUGUAGCGGCCGAUGUCGGAUUAGCUAGUUGGUGGGGUAAAGGCUUACCAAGGCGACGAUCCGUAGCUGGUCUGAGAGGACGACCAGCCACACUGGGACUGAGACACGGCCCAGACUCCUACGGGAGGCAGCAGUGGGGAAUUUUGGACAAUGGGGGCAACCCUGAUCCAGCCAUGCCGCAUGCGGGAAGAAGGCCUUCGGGUUGUAAACCGCUUUUGUUCGGGAAGAAAUCCUCUGGGCUAAUACCCCGGGGGGAUGACGGUACCGGAGGAAUAAGCACCGGCUAACUACGUG
rnacentral:rRNA from 1 species